rnacentral:rRNA from 1 species
UACGUAGGGUGCGAGCGUUAAUCGGAAUUACUGGGCGUAAAGGGUGCGCAGGCGGUUUUGUAAGUCAGAUGUGAAAUCCCCGGGCUCAACCUGGGAACUGCAUUUGUGACUGCAUAGCUAGAGUACGGUAGAGGGGGAUGGAAUUCCGCGUGUAGCAGUGAAAUGCGUAGAUGUGCGGAGGAACACCGAUGGCGAAGGCAAUCCCCUGGACCUGUACUGACGCUCAUGCACGAAAGCGUGGGGAGCAAACAGG